GACGAACGCUGGCGGCGUGCCUAAUACAUGCAAGUUGAGCGAUGAAGAUUGGUGCUUGCACCAAUUUGUAGAGCAGCGAACGGGUGAGUAACGCGUGGGGAAUCUUCCUUUGAGCGGGGGACAACAUAUGGAAACGAAUGCUAAUACCGCAUAACAACUUUAAACACAAGUUUUAAGAUUGAAAGAUGCAAUUGCAUCACUCAAAGAUGAUUCCGCGUUGUAUUAGCUAGUUGGGGAGGUAAAGGCUCACCAAGGUGGAGAUACAUAGUGGACCUGAGAGGGAGGACGGGCACAAUGGGACUGGGGCCCGGCCCCAGACCCUUACGGAAGCAGCCGGAGGGGAUCAUCGGACAUGGGGGAAAGGCUGAACGAGGAACGCCGGGUGGGAGGAGAAAGGUUUCGGGUCGGAAAACUCUGUUCGUAGGGAAGGAAGUGAGUGAGGGUAGAAAGCUCAUCAAGUGACGGUAACUGCACAAGAAGGGACGGCUAACUACGUG
rnacentral:rRNA from 1 species